rnacentral:rRNA from 1 species
UACGUAGGUGGCGAGCGUUGUCCGGAUUUACUGGGCGUAAAGAGCGCGCAGGCGGUCGUUCAAGUCGCGUGUGAAAGCCCCCGGCUCAACUGGGGAGGGUCACGCGAUACUGAUCGACUCGAAGGCAGGAGAGGGUAGUGGAAUUCCCGGUGUAGUGGUGAAAUGCGUAGAUAUCGGGAGGAACACCAGUGGCGAAGGCGACUACCUGGCCUGUUUCUUGACGCUGAGGCGCGAAAGCUAGGGGAGCAACGGG